rnacentral:rRNA from 1 species
UACGUAGGGUGCGAGCGUUGUCCGGAAUUAUUGGGCGUAAAGAGCUCGUAGGCGGUGUGUCACGUCGGCCGUGAAAACCUGCAGCUUAACUGUGGGCGUGCGGUCGAUACGGGCAUCACUGGAGUUCGGCAGGGGAGACUGGAAUUCCUGGUGUAGCGGUGAAAUGCGCAGAUAUCAGGAGGAACACCGGUGGCGAAGGCAGCUCUCUGGGACGGUACUGACGCUGAGACGCGAAAGCGUGGGGAGCAAACAGG